AUAUCAUAGCCUUUAAUGUUUGUGUAUGAACACAGCGGCAAAGACUGUACCUGGUUUGGUACCGGUUACAUCAACAAAUAGCUUUGUCCAAAAUAUUAGCGGUCUGGUGGUUGUCGUGAACAGGGUGGCCUGGGAUUGAGUCAAAUUCACGGCCUGAAUUGCCACUCCUGGUGCACACAGCAGAUAACCUUCCAAUCAAGUGGACCAUGUGCAGUGAGUGAUCAAUUCAUCAGACGGCGCUCGUGGUUCUCAGGAUUGAUGAACACUGAAGGUGAAGCUGGCGUGUGAUCUGCAGUUUCAUCAAGGGAAAAUUCGGAGCAUGCGCAGUUGUAAGAAGACCCUCUGUCUGCACGGCCGAACACACCCCUUUCAUCAGAGAGGGACUCUGAUGGCUCCUGCUCCCCUUUUUUCUCUGUUUGUGUUUUGUCAGCUGUCAGUCACCUGGCACCUUUUGGGUGUUUGUGGGAAGUGCACCUGCUCUCCCUGCCGUUUUCCAGAGCUCCCAAGGCUUCCUACACAC